rnacentral:rRNA from 1 species
UACGGAGGGGGCUAGCGUUGUUCGGAAUUACUGGGCGUAAAGCGCACGUAGGCGGCUUUGUAAGUUAGAGGUGAAAGCCCGGGGCUCAACUCCGGAAUUGCCUUUAAGACUGCAUCGCUAGAAUUGUGGAGAGGUAAGUGGAAUUCCGAGUGUAGAGGUGAAAUUCGUAGAUAUUGGGUGGAACACCGGUGGCGAAAGCGGCUCUCUGGCCCGGAUCUGACGCUGAGGCGCGAAAGCGUGGGGAGCAAACAGG